GACGUAGGGCGCAAGCGUUGUCCGGAUUUAUUGGGCGUAAAGCGCGUGUAGGCGGUUCGGUAAGUCCGCUGUGAAAGUCGGGGGCUCAACCCUCGGAAGCCGGUGGAUACUGUCGGGCUAGAGUACGGAAGAGGCGAGUGGAAUUCCUGGUGUAGCGGUGAAAUGCGCAGAUAUCAGGAGGAACACCAAUUGCGAAGGCAGCUCGCUGGGACGUUACUGACGCUGAGACGCGAAAGCGUGGGGAGCAAACAGG
rnacentral:rRNA from 1 species